UACAGAGGGUGCGAGCGUUAAUCGGAAUUACUGGGCGUAAAGCGCGCGUAGGCGGCUUUGCAAGUCGGGUGUGAAAUCCCCAGGCUUAACCUGGGAACUGCAUUCGAGACUGCAUUGCUAGAGUAUGGGAGAGGGAAGUGGAAUUUCCGGUGUAGCGGUGAAAUGCGUAGAUAUCGGAAGGAACACCAGUGGCGAAGGCGGCUCGCUGGACCGGAACUGACGCUGAGGCGCGAAAGCGUGGGGAGCAAACGGG
rnacentral:rRNA from 1 species